UCACAGCUCUCCUGACCCGUGGGCACCUUGGAGGAAAAGCCGAAGUCUGGAAAUGGCCUCCGGCCAGAGCAGGCGGGGCCAAAGCAUCUCGAUGGGAACUUCUCUUGGCAAAGUGGCUUUUCAUCUAGUCUCUUCGUGGGUCCUGUGACCCUGUGGGGGCAGUCCCCCCGUCCUGCAGAGGAAGUCCAGGAAGGCGAAGGGAAUCCAUCGAACCAUUGACACGCGGCGGAGCCUGGUGAUUUGCAGCCUCCCUGGGGCUGCCCCUUGCUGGCCGGCCAGCUGCCCCCUGGACCUGCACACAUCAGCCCGCGUCCGUCUUGCUGGGGCUGCACGCUGGCUUCUGGCUGCAGACUCCUCGUCCUGAUGCAGGAGGCCCAGGCUCCCGGAGGCUGCUGGCCCCGGGGCUGGCUCAGGGAGCUGGGGACAUGCUGACCUGUCAGCCGGCCAGGGCCUCCCGCGGUCACCUCUGUCCAAAACUCUGUGCCCCGCUCUUCCCACUGCUCCCUUGUCCCCUGCUCAGACACCGCCUCGGGGUCUCAAAUCAUGUCCACGCUACAGUCCUGGUCUCGAAAGUCUCACUGGACUCCCCGUGGGUGUGUUUGAACUCAGUGACCCACUUGUAGUGAACAGAGGACGUGAAGUGACAGCAGGUGACUUCCAGGACUGGGCCACCACAGGCACGGCAGUGUCCUCCCCGCCUCCUCUGGAUCCCUUGCUGUGGGGGGCAGGAGCGCACUCAGCCCUGGGGACUGGCCCAGACGGUGAGGGACUGAGGACCCCGGCCCACACAGCCAGGGGACAGCCCCUCAAGCCACCACAGGAGACAGCGCACAGGUGUGUGGCUGUCCACCCGCAAGGCUGGACCAGCGCCUCUGUUUCCAGGUGGGGUGGGCCUCAGGGAGGCUCCAGGGAGUGGCGGGCAGGGGGAGCCACGCCAUAGGCUUUGCAGCUGAUUGGCCAGGUCACCCGGGUGACCGGAAGCAAGAGGAGAGUGGGCUGUGUGUUUAGAUCCCCAGCAAAGGGCCCCAGCUUCCAGGGUGCCAGGGCCACCAAGAACACACCCAGGGUGCCGUCUGUCUGCUGCAGUGACAGCCUGGGUCCCGGUGUCAGCCUCGCUCGACUUAUGACUGCCCCGGAGCCCCGGGAACAGCUCUCUGCUGCUGUCCUGCUGGUCCGUCCAACCCUGCCCGAUGCCGUGGACCAUCUUAGAUGCGGAUGCACCACCUGAGUCUGGCCUGUUGAUGACCACAGUUCCGGCCAGUGGUCUUGACAUGAUCUGAUGAGACGCUGACCGGGCCAUCCAGUUGAGGCUCUCCCACAUUCCCCGCCCACAGAAACUGCAGCACCUCGGCCUCCCGCGGGCAGCUCCGUCUAGUCCAGCUCGGCCGGUCACCCCGCUGGCCCAAGUCCACCUCUCGCUGCACAGAUGCCCCUGGAAGUGGCCUAGGGUGAGCCGCUCGGGGGGCACAGCCAGCAAGCUGAAGCUGCUGACCUUCAAUGUUAGCGAGGAGCCCCAUGAACACCUCGGCGGGUCGAGGAGGGGACUCGCCCAUCUCUGUGUCCCAUGAUCUCAAGUAUCCAAGAUGCAACGGAGCCAGAGCCGUCCCUCGGGCCCCCAGACAGAGCCGGCCGGUCCCCGAGGCUGGGAGCAAAGCCCGUCUAAUUAACUUACCGCGAGCUCUUGGGCCAUUACUCAGACCCUAAUUACUUAAUCGCCUUAGCAGAUAUUUAUUAGUCACCUAACAUCUGCGAAGCCCCGUGCUAGGAGCAGGGGGGCCGGGGCAGGAGCUGGGAGGGUGCACUGGGUGGUUGUCUCCACUGAGGAGUGGCUGCCCGGAGGGAGAUCCUCAGAGGCCACCAACCACAGGGACAGGGGCCCGCCAGGCGGGUGGGGGCGGGGCGGCGCGCGGCCUGUCAAGGAGGCCAGGCUCAAUUAGUCACAAUUAUAACACGCGCAACAAGCCUCAUUA